rnacentral:rRNA from 1 species
ACAAUGAAGAGUUUGAUCCUGGCUCAGGAUGAACGCUAGCUACAGGCUUAACACAUGCAAGUCGAGGGGCAUCAGGAAGAAAGCUUGCUUUCUUUGCUGGCGACCGGCGCACGGGUGAGUAACACGUAUCCAACCUGCCCUUUACUCGGGGAUAGCCUUUCGAAAGAAAGAUUAAUACCCGAUAGCAUAAUGAUUCCGCAUGGUUUCAUUAUUAAAGGAUUCCGGUAAAGGAUGGGGAUGCGUUCCAUUAGGUUGUUGGUGAGGUAACGGCUCACCAAGCCUUCGAUGGAUAGGGGUUCUGAGAGGAAGGUCCCCCACAUUGGAACUGAGACACGGUCCAAACUCCUACGGGAGGCAGCAGUGAGGAAUAUUGGUCAAUGGGCGCUAGCCUGAACCAGCCAAGUAGCGUGAAGGAUGAAGGCUCUAUGGGUCGUAAACUUCUUUUAUAUAAGAAUAAAGUGCAGUAUGUAUACUGUUUUGUAUGUAUUAUAUGAAUAAGGAUCGGCUAACUCCGUGCCAGCAGCCGCGGUAAUACGGAGGAUCCGAGCGUUAUCCGGAUUUAUUGGGUUUAAAGGGAGCGUAGGUGGACUGGUAAGUCAGUUGUGAAAGUUUGCGGCUCAACCGUAAAAUUGCAGUUGAUACUGUCAGUCUUGAGUACAGUAGAGGUGGGCGGAAUUCGUGGUGUAGCGGUGAAAUGCUUAGAUAUCACGAAGAACUCCGAUUGCGAAGGCAGCUCACUGGACUGCAACUGACACUGAUGCUCGAAAGUGUGGGUAUCAAACAGGAUUAGAUACCCUGGUAGUCCACACAGUAAACGAUGAAUACUCGCUGUUUGCGAUAUACAGUAAGCGGCCAAGCGAAAGCAUUAAGUAUUCCACCUGGGGAGUACGCCGGCAACGGUGAAACUCAAAGGAAUUGACGGGGGCCCGCACAAGCGGAGGAACAUGUGGUUUAAUUCGAUGAUACGCGAGGAACCUUACCCGGGCUUAAAUUGCAGUGGAAUGAUGUGGAAACAUGUCAGUGAGCAAUCACCGCUGUGAAGGUGCUGCAUGGUUGUCGUCAGCUCGUGCCGUGAGGUGUCGGCUUAAGUGCCAUAACGAGCGCAACCCUUAUCUUUAGUUACUAACAGGUUAUGCUGAGGACUCUAGAGAGACUGCCGUCGUAAGAUGUGAGGAAGGUGGGGAUGACGUCAAAUCAGCACGGCCCUUACGUCCGGGGCUACACACGUGUUACAAUGGGGGGUACAGAAGGCAGCUAGCGGGUGACCGUAUGCUAAUCCCAAAAGCCUCUCUCAGUUCGGAUCGAAGUCUGCAACCCGACUUCGUGAAGCUGGAUUCGCUAGUAAUCGCGCAUCAGCCACGGCGCGGUGAAUACGUUCCCGGGCCUUGUACACACCGCCCGUCAAGCCAUGGGAGCCGGGGGUACCUGAAGUACGUAACCGCAAGGAUCGUCCUAGGGUAAAACUGGUGACUGGGGCUAAGUCGUAACAAGGUAGCCGUACCGGAAGGUGCGGCUGGAACACCUCCUUU